AUACGGAGGGUGCGAGCGUUAUUCGGAAUUACUGGGCGUAAAGCGCGUGUAGCGGGGAUGCAAGUCUGAUGUGAAAGCCCUGGGCUCAACCUGGGAAGUGCAUUGGAAACUGUCAGGCUUGAGUACCGGAGAGGAUGGGGGAAUUCCCGGUGUAGAGGUGAAAUUCGUAGAGAUCGGGAGGAAUACCAGUGGCGAAGGCGCCCAUCUGGACGGUAACUGACGCUGAGACGCGAAAGCGUGGGGAGC
rnacentral:rRNA from 1 species